rnacentral:lncRNA from 1 species
AUUUUCUUAUUCGAUUUCAAAAUGGGUUGUAAAGCAGCAGAGACAACUUGCAACAUCAACAGCGCAUUUGGCCCAAAACUGUGGUGGUUCAAGAUGCUUUGCAAAGGAGACGAGAGCCUUGAAGAUGAGGAGUGUAGUGGCUGGUCAUCGGAAGUUGACAAUGUCAAAUUGAGAACCAACCAAAUUGAAGCUGAUCCUCUUGCAACUACAGAAGUUGCUGAAGAACUUAAUGUCAACCAUUCAACAGUUGUUUGGCAUUUGAAGCAAACUGGAAAGGUGAAAGGCUCAAUAACUGACCACAAAUCAAAAAAUCAUGUUGAAGUGUCAUCUUCUCUUAUUUUAUGCAACAACAAACCAUUUCUUGAUUGUUUUGUGACGUGCAGUGAAAAGUGGAUUUAUAUGACAACCACUCAGUGGUUGAACAAAGAAGCUCCAAAGCACUUCCCAGAGUCAAACUUGCACCAAAAAAAAGUCAUGGUCACUGUUUGGUGGUCUGCUGCCAGUCUGAUCUACUAUAGCUUUCUGAAUCCUGGUGAGACCAUUACAUCGGAAAAGUAUGCUCAGGAAUCGAUGAGAGCACUGAAAACUGCAAAACCUAUAGCCAGCAAUGGUCAACAGAAAGAGCCCAAUUCUUCUCCAUGACAACACCACACAUCACACAACCAAAACUUCAAAAGUUGAACUGGGCUAUGAAGUUUUGCCUCAUCCGCCGUAUUCACCUGACCUCUUGACAACCAACUACCACUUCUUCAAGCAUCUCAAAAACUUUUUGCAGGAGAGACACUUCCACCACCAGCAGGAGGCAGAAAAUGCUUUCAAACAGUUUGUCAAAUCCCAAAGCACAGAUUUUUAUGCUAUAGGAAUGAACAAACUUAUUUCUCAUGGGCAAAAAUGUGCUGAUUGUAAUGGUUCCUAUUUUUGA